rnacentral:rRNA from 1 species
GACGAACGCUGGCGGCGUGCUUAACACAUGCAAGUCGAACGCAGUGGCGAACGGGUGAGUAACGCGUAAUCAACCUGCCCUUCAGAGGGGAAUAACAGUUGGAAACGACUGCUAAUACCGCAUACUGAAGGAGGGGAUUGCGUCUGAUUAGCUAGUUGGAGGGGUAACGGCCCACCAAGGCGAGGAUAAGUAGCCGGGUGGGGAGGAGGAACGGCAAAAAUGGGAAUGAGAAACGGCCCAGACUCCUACGGGAGGAAGCAGUGGGGAAUCUUCCGAAAUGGAGGAAAGUCUUACGGAGCAACGCCGCGUGAGGGAUGACGGGCUUCGGGUUGUAAAGCUCUGUUAAUCGAGAAGCGGUACCGGAAUAGAAAGCCACGGCUAACUACGUGCCAGCAGCCGCGGUAAUAC